rnacentral:rRNA from 1 species
UACAGAGGGUGCAAGCGUUAAUCGGAAUUACUGGGCGUAAAGCGUGCGCAGGCGGUUAUAUAAGACAGUUGUGAAAUCCCCGGGCUCAACCUGGGAACUGCAUCUGUGACUGUAUAGCUAGAGUACGGUAGAGGGGGAUGGAAUUCCGCGUGUAGCAGUGAAAUGCGUAGAUAUGCGGAGGAACACCGAUGGCGAAGGCAAUCCCCUGGACCUGUACUGACGCUCAUGCACGAAAGCGUGGGGAGCAAACAGG